UACGUAGGGGGCGAGCGUUGUCCGAAGUUACUGGGCGUAAAGCGCGCGUAGGCGGUUCUUUAAGUGGCCGGUGAAAUCCCCGGGCUCAACUUGGGGCAGUCUGGUCAUACUGGAGGACUGGAGUAUGGGAGGGGAGAGCGGAACUCCUGGUGUAGCGGUGAUAUGCGUAGAGAUCAGGAAGAACACCCGUGGCGAAGGCGGCUCUCUGGACCAUUACUGACGCUGAGGCGCGAAAGCCAGGGGAGCGAACGGG
rnacentral:rRNA from 1 species